CCUACGGGUGGCAGCAGUGAGGAAUAUUGGUCAAUGGGCGCAAGCCUGAACCAGCCAAGUCGCGUGAGGGAUGACGGUCCUAUGGAUUGUAAACCUCUUUUGUCGGGGAGCAAGGCCCGCCACGUGUGGCGGGAAGGAGAGUACCCGAAGAAAAAGCAUCGGCUAACUCCGUGCCAGCAGCCGCGGUAAUACGGAGGAUGCGAGCGUUAUCCGGAUUUAUGGGGUUUAAAGGGUGCGUAGGCGGUCGGAUAAGUUAUAGGUGAAAUCCCGAGGCUCAACUUCGGAAUUGCCUCUGAUACUGUUCGGCUAGAGAGUAGUUGCGGUAGGCGGAAUGUAUGGUGUAGCGGUGAAAUGCUUAGAGAUCAUACAGAACACCGAUUGCGAAGGCAGCUUACUGGACUGCAACUGACACUGAGGCUCGAAAGUGUGGGUAUCAAACAGGAUUAGAUACCCCGGUAGUC
rnacentral:rRNA from 1 species